UACGAAGGGGGCUAGCGUUGUUCGGAAUCACUGGGCGUAAAGCGCACGUAGGCGGAUGUGCCAGUCAGGGGUGAAAUCCCGGAGCUCAACUUCGGAACUGCCUCUGAUACAGCACGUCUUGAGUCCGGAAGAGGUGGGUGGAAUUCCUAGUGUAGAGGUGAAAUGCGCAGAUAUCAGGAGGAACACCAAUUGCGAAGGCAGCUCGCUGGGACGUGACUGACGCUGAGGAGCGAAAGCAUGGGGAGCGAACAGG
rnacentral:rRNA from 1 species